CUGGACUGUGCAUGAUACAUCUUGACUUCCUGCUGAUGUUCUGCUGCACAGUGACGCCGCUCUGGAUCAGCUUUAAAGGUCAGCUUGUGGUCGGACAUCCACACAUUUCAAAGAGCGCUGCCUUACGAAAUAUUAACCGGAGCCCCACUGUGACAGGCUUUGUCCAUUGACAGAUGACAGACCUAUGUGAUGGUUGAGGGGGUGUUGGAGUGACAUGUGCCGGCAGGCGCCACUGCCUGAUAAGAGCUGCAAGUAAAAUAAGAAUCAUCCCAGGACUACACAACAGGACUAGGUUAAUGACCUGAAAAGAGCUGGGACCGUUUCCAAGCACAUGGGGUGUUUGGUGAAUAUUUAAUGAGCGUGCUAAAAACAUUCCUGAUGGAAGCCAUUGCCGACGUUAACCACGCGUCGGCCAAGACAUGGGCGGAAAAAUGAGUCUGCUGGCCUCUUGUCUCAUCUUGCGCAUCAAGUCACAAACCAAGACGGUAUCGAUCCAGCGUGGGUCUGCGGGGGAAGGGAAGCUGGUAGCCGCGACCUUAGCCCUCCUUUGAUGCUGCUGAAAAGUCAAAUCAACACCACUGUUUGGACUACUACAACAACAGCGACACAGCAGUCUGAAAACAAGUACCAAUAAUUCAUCCAUCAAUCCAUUUUCUUUUGCUGCUUAUCCUGACAAGGUUCGCGGGGAGUGCUGCAGCCUAUCCUAGCUGUCAACAGGCAGGAGGCAGGGUACACCCCGCACUGGUUGCUGGCCAAUUGCAGGGCAUAUUGAGACAAACAGCCACACUCACAAUCACACCUACUGGCAAUUUAGAGUGUCCAAUUAAGGUUGCAUGUUUUUCGGAUGUGGGAGGAAACCAAAGGUCCCAGAGAAAACCCACGCAGGCACGGGGAGAACAUGGAAACUCCACACAGGCGGGGCCAGGAUCGUACCCUGGUCCUCAGAACUGCGAGGACAACACUUUACCAGCUGACCCACCGUGCCGACAGUACUGAUAAUUAUUCAAGUGAUAUUUAUCCAUCUAACAGUUAGUUAGUUAGUAGUUAGUUAGUUAGUUAGUUAGUUAGUUAGUUAGUUAGUUAGUUAGUUAGUUAGUUAGUUAGUCAAACUACCCUUUUAUUCUAUUUAGAAAAGAGCCUUUGGAUAUUAAUCAUGCCAACACAAACUACCCUAACAUACUCAUGACACAAAACUCAA